GUAGGGAAUUUUCGGCAAUGGGCGAAAGCCUGACCGAGCAAUGCCGCGUGAAUGAUGAAGAUCUUCGGAUUGUAAAGUUCUGUUGUUAGGGAAGAACAUAUUGAUGAGUGGAAAAUAUCAAUACUGACGGUACCUAACUAGAAAGCCCCGGCUAAAUAUGUGCCAGCAGCCGCGGUAAUACAUAUGGGGCAAGCGUUAUCCGGAAUUAUUGGGCGUAAAGCGUGCGUAGGCGGUUUGUUAAGUCCGGUGUGAAAUUUCAUGGCUUAACCAUGAAGGGUCAUUGGAAACUGGCAAACUUGAGUACGGUAGGGGUAAGUGGAAUUCCAAGUGGAGCGGUGGAAUGCGUAGAGAUUUGGAGGAACACCAGUGGCGAAGGCGGCUUACUGGGCCGGAACUGACGCUGAGGCACGAAAGCGUGGGGAGCAAACAGGAUUAGAUACCCUGGUAGUCC
rnacentral:rRNA from 1 species